UGUGAGCCCGAGGGUCCACAAGUCCCGUACCUACAAACGUUGACACUUAAUCCACUGUUCGAGGUAAACAAACAAGGAAGAGUUCAGCUAAGCGAAAAGAAAAAUAAGCCAGUGCCUAAAAUCCAAAGAGCGGAAUUUGUCCGUCAGACCUUGUGUACGGAUACACGUGUACUUACAACAGCUCCGAAGU
rfam:Procavia capensis cont1.105887, whole genome shotgun sequence.